rnacentral:rRNA from 1 species
GACAGAGGGGGCGAAGCGUUGCUCGGAAUUGACUGGCGUAAAGGGGCGCGAUAGGCGGGAGUGGCAAGUCGGUCGUGAAAGUCCCUACGGCUCAACUGAGGAGCGUCGAUCGAACUGCCGUUCUUGAGGGUUGCAGAGGAGACUGGAAUUCCCGGUGUAGCGGUGAAAUGUGUAGAGAUCGGGAGGAACACCGGUGGCGAAGGCGGGGU